CAGAAAAUAGAAAGAAAAUAGAGGGAGGUCAGAGAGGUUAGACGAGAGAGCAGUGGGAGGCGCAAGUAAGAAAGGAGUAAGCUGCCUUGGCAGCGGAAGAAAAGUCAGAGGGGCAGCUCGCAAGGACGGUCAGAAGAGUGAAGCGGGGAGAGUCCAAAGGUGAGCACGGCAUGGUGAGUAUGGAGAGAGGUGAGCACGGGGGAAGCUGCCCUUGCAGCUGAGACUGGCGCAAGGAAGACUGAAAGCUGCAGGAAAGGAGAGGGCGCCAGCGAGGCGCAGUUCACACGGGCACGAACGCAACAGAUCACCUUCUUUCGGUUUAAUCUUUCCAAACUUCUAUUUUAUUUCUAUUUUUAAUAAUGUGUAAUUAAAUUUAUUUUGGCUAGAGGUUAAUUCAAAGCCAUGAAUAUAUUUGUAAUAU
rnacentral:lncRNA from 1 species